UACGGAGGGCGCGAGCGUUAAUCGGAAUUACUGGGCGUAAAGCGCGCGUAGGCUGUUGUGUAAGUUGGGGGUGAAAUCCCACGGCUCAACCGUGGAACAGCCCUUGAUACUGCGCGACUUGAAUCCGGGAGAGGGUGGCGGAAUUCCAGGUGUAGGAGUGAAAUCCGUAGAUAUCUGGAGGAACGUCAGUGGCGAAGGCGGCCACCUGGACCGGUAUUGACGCUGAGGCGCGAAAGCGUGGGGAGCAAACAGG
rnacentral:rRNA from 1 species